GCGCUCGUAGCUCAGCUGGACAGAGCACAUGAGUCCUAAUCUUGGGGUCGGAGGUUCGAAUCCUCCCGAGCGCGCCA
rnacentral:tRNA from 1 species